rnacentral:lncRNA from 1 species
AUUAAAUAAGUGCACUAAAACACACUUAUCGAUGGGAUGUAAAGGGAGAAAUAGGGAACUGAUGUGUGCAUGAUAUGAGAAGUCAUAGAACACAUCUAUAUCGCAGGACACAAAACACUAGCGUUGUCCAAAAAAGCAUUCAAUCACAGUGCUAAUGGAAGCACCUACCUCCCUUAUACACAUCAUCCUACUAACAAACUUUCUAAAGUGAUGUUAAGUAUCUAUAUCGAUCUCACCUCUUUUUGUUUUCUUUUAACAUGAAAUUGCCAUUUCAUU